rnacentral:rRNA from 1 species
GCGAGUCGUGCGCCCCGGGCUGGCGGGGCGCGGCGCACGGCUCAGUAACACGUGGCCAACCUACCCUCGGGACGGGGAUAACCCCGGGAAACUGGGGCUAAUACCCGAUAGGCGAUGGCUCCUGGAAUGGGCCAUCGCUGAAAGGGACCUAGGGCCAUGCCCUCUAGGUCCGCCCGAGGAUGGGGCUGCGGCCCAUCAGGUAGUUGGCGGGGUAACGGCCCGCCAAGCCGAUAACGGGUACGGGCCGUGAGAGCGGGAGCCCGGAGAUGGGCCCUGGGACAAGGGCCCAGGCCCUACGGGGCGCAGCAGGCGCGAAACCUCCGCUAUGCGGGAAACCGCGACGGGGUCACCCCGAGUGCCACCCGAAGAGGGUGGCUUUUCCCCAGUGUAAUAAGCUGGGGGAAUAAGCGGGGGGCAAGUCUGGUGUCAGCCGCCGCGGUAAGACCAGCCCUGCGAGUGGCCGGGACGCUUAUU